GCCAGCGUCUUUGUUAACGUGUGCCAAUCCCAAUCCCAACGAUGCAUGCAUGCUUGUGAUAGAAUGUUUGGGAUAGUCUAUUAAUCUAAAAGUAAUAGAGGAAAAAUCAUGCUACAUAGAAGGUUUAUCAAGGUUAAGAUAGAGUACCAAAGGGUUUGGCUGGCGCUGUUGUCAUCCGAGCAAGCUUUUUUCACUUCUGCGAUCCGUGGCUCUGACGAAAGUCGUGGGUUUUUUCCAAGUACUCUGGUUUCCUUCCCCAGGGAAUGUUUUACAGGGUGGGUAGUAGAAUGACGUUCGGCCAUGUUGUGGGUUUUGAUCGAGCUACUACUCCCAUUUCUUCCCACAGAAAAUGUCGACAGGCUGAAUGAAACUGACACACCGUCAUAGAACGAUCUAAUAUCAAGGAUAAAGGAGCAAUAGUCGUAGAAGUUGACUCAUGAUCGUGGGUUUUCUCCAAGUAUAUACUCCGGUUCUUCCCACAAGGAAUCUUGACAGGGUGGGUCAGAACAUACCUCGGCACUAGCUGUUAAACAAUUAUGAUAUCUGCAUGACUUCUUAUUUUUACAAUGUAAUUAAUGCACUCAAUAGUAAAUACAAAUGUAAUUCUCAUAUUAGAGUGUAAAACAGUGUUUCCUAGGUUUUCACAAAAGUGUAUUACGUAAGUUUCUUUGUAUUCUAAGUGUUUCACCCAUGAGAUUAUCAUAACCCACAAAGCUACAGUAAUGAGUUAUAUUGCAACACAUAUUAUAUUGUAUGACAUAUACGUGUUUUUUUAAGAACAACAAAGUCUUCCCGUAAUAGACUUUUCCCGUGUUUUGAGGAAACAUGCACUAUAAAUGUUUGUGAUUCCCACCGUGGCCAUGCCACGCAUUCAGCUUGCCCGGUGUGGAUACACACUCAGAGUAACAUCACAAACAUCAUAUUCACCUGAGUACAUUACACCAACACACACAAAAAAUACCACUAUAAUUGUCAAACAUGAGAACAGCAGGUGAAUAUUAGUAAGAACACAAAAUCCGG